rnacentral:rRNA from 1 species
CCAGACUCCUACGGGAGGCAGCAGUGGGGGAUAUUGCACAAUGGGGGAAACCCUGAUGCAGCGACGCCGCGUGGGUGAAGAAGCGCCUCGGCGCGUAAAGCCCUGUCAGCAGGGAAGAGAAUGACGGUACCUGAAGAAGAAGCCCCGGCUAACUACGUGCCAGCAGCCGCGGUAAUACGUAGGGGGCAAGCGUUAUCCGGAUUUACUGGGUGUAAAGGGGGCGCAGACGGCCAUGGCAAGCCCGGUGUGAAAGGCAGGGGCAUAACCCCUGGACUGCACUGGGAACUGUCAGGCUGGAGUGCCGGAGGGGUAAGCGGAAUUCCUGGUGUAGCGGUGAAAUGCGUAGAUAUUAGGAGGAACACCAGUGGCGAAGGCGGCUUACUGGACUGUAACUGACGUUGAGGCUCGAAAGCGUGGGGAGCAAACAGGAUUAGAUACCCCCGUACU